rnacentral:rRNA from 1 species
GCAGCGGAGCGUGUGGUUUAAUUCGAUGCUACACGAAGAACCUCACCAGGGUUGACAUGUUAGAAGUAGUGAACCGAAAGGGAUCGACCUGUUAAGUCAGGAGCUAUCACAGGUGCUGCAUGGCUGUCGUCAGCUCGUGCCGUGAGGUGUAUGGUUAAGUCCUGCAACGAGCGCAACCCUUAUUGCCAGUUAUAUUCUCUGGCGAUACUGCCUCGCAAAACGGGGAGGAAGGUGGGGAUGACGUCAAGUCAGCAUGGCCUUUAUAUCCUGGGCUACACACACGCUACAAUGGCCAACACAAUAGGUUGCUAAGCCGCGAGGUGGAGCCAAUCCAUAAAGUUGGUCUCAGUUCAGAUUGUAGGCUGCAACCCGCCUGCAUGAAGAUGGAGUUGCUAGUAACCGCAGGUCAGCUAUACUGCGGUGAAUACGUUCCCGGGGCUU